rnacentral:rRNA from 1 species
AUGAACGCUAGCGAUAGGCUUAACACAUGCAAGUCGAGGGGCAGCAUGGUCUUAGCUUGCUCAGACUGAUGGCGACCGGCGCACGGGUGCGUAACGCGUAUGCAACUUGCCUCACAGAGGGGGAUAACCCGUCGAAAGACGGACUAAUACCGCGUACACUCUAUGUUGGGCAUCCAAUGUAGAGGAAAUGAAAUUCGCUGUGAGAUAGGCAUGCGUCCCAUUAGCUAGUUGGUGAGGUAACGGCUCACCAAGGCGACGAUGGGUAGGGGAACUGAGAGGUUGAACCCCCACACUGGUACUGAGACACGGACCAGACUCCUACGGGAGGCAGCAGUGAGGAAUAUUGGUCAAUGGGCGAGAGCCUGAACCAGCCAAGUCGCGUGAAGGAUGACUGUCUUAUGGAUUGUAAACUUCUUUUAUACGGGAAUAACAAGAGCCACGUGUGGCUCCCUGCAUGUACCGUAUGAAUAAGCAUCGGCUAACUCCGUG